rnacentral:rRNA from 1 species
UACGGGGGGAGCAAGCGUUGUUCGGGUUUACUGGGCGUAAAGGGCGCGUAGGCGGCCACCGCAAGUCGACUGUGAAAUCUCCGGGCUUAACCCGGAAAGGUCAGCCGAUACUGCGGGGCUAGAGUGCAGAAGGGGCAACUGGAAUUCUCGGUGUAGCGGUGAAAUGCGUAGAUAUCGAGAGGAACACCUGCGGCGAAGGCGGGUUGCUGGGCUGACACUGACGCUGAGGCGCGAAAGCUAGGGGAGCGAACGGG